CAAGAUGCUCACACAGAGGAGACUCGCCAAGAGGAAUGUCUAUGGACAGUAUAACAGGGCCAUCAGGAAGUUCGUCACACACGUGGUCCAAAACACAACCUGAAUCACAUGUAUGGUCCCCCACGCGGUUUCCUCCAAUAUGAAACCCUAGUAUGGGUCUCUGCUGAGGAUCUCUCUUGUGUUCCAUGUCGCUUUUAGCAGAGAUUCCAUCCUGCGUCUCACAUCCAUCAGCAAGUCCUGUAAUUUUGGGGUUGUCUACAAGUUUCUCUCUCCAGUUUCCCUCUUCAUCCUGUUUUGCUGCAUGAGACUUGUGAGGCUUAUCUUGAUGACAGCUUUCUUUAUACACGAGACUAGUUAAGAUGCCUUCUGCCAGCAUGAUGACAAGUGUGAGCAGCAGUCUAAUCACCAGAGUUCCAUUGAGAUCUGUGAGGGAAAGAAAGAUGAGCAGAAGACCUCAAGCGUGUUUGGAAAAAGAGGUAUAACAAUUAAAAAAAAAUAUAUGAACAGUGCAUAUUUCAUAGAGACAGUCUGUGAUUUUGCUUUUUCUUUAGAAUAUUUGUUUUUAGCAAAAAGCAAACUGUGUGCUUUUAUACGAAUUUAAUCUCUAUACCCAGGUCAACAAAAUCAUUCUGAAGAUACGAAGGGGGCAUUGACAGGAUUCUUCAUCUCUAAUAUCACAUUUCCAUACCUAGGUGUCUCUUCUGCUUUGUGGCUAGUUGAGGUGGUUCAUACUCGUGAGCUGCUACUCUGUAAGGAUUUAAAAAAAAAAAAAAAAAGUGAUUUCACUUGAUUUCCGUUUAGAGCUCAGACUGACCUAAAUUCACUGAGGGAAAGAUCAUAACUACUGUUGUGGAAGAAUGAGAAAGAUGAACACAUUCAUAUAUCUUUUUAAUUUCUGCAUAUUUCAAGCACCUUCGCACGUCUCUGGCACUCUCGUGU